CUCCUAUAACGUCUGAUGAUUAC
rnacentral:miRNA from 1 species